rfam:Picea glauca, whole genome shotgun sequence.
GUAUGCCUACAACAUAGCAUUAAUGCACCAUAUCCCAUUAGAACUUCGUAGUUAAGCGCACUCAUGCUAGAGUAGUAUUGGAAUGGGUGACCACCUGGGAAGUCCUAGUGUUUUACAUGCC